AAAAAAAAAAAAUGAUUAGCAACUGACUAAAUCGGUUGCUUAUCAAGUUAGCAACCGAUCCAGUUGGUUGCAAUGAGUCUGAUUGCAAAUAACAACAGGCAAUCAAAUUAGUUACAAAUAGCAAUCGACAAUCAAAUCAGUUAUUAAAUUAAUUGAACUUAAAAAAAUUAAACUUUUUGGUGAAAAAGCUAUCGGUUGCUAAUAACAAUUGAAACAUAAUCAGUUGCAAAAAAUUUGUUGUCUGUAAUUUUAUAAUUUUG
rnacentral:misc_RNA from 1 species